UUGAUAUUUGCUGGCAUAUUAAUAAAGCUGCUAAGGGUGAACUGGCAGGAUUGAAUUUCAGAAGCAGGUUUAAGGUUUUAUGAAUGUCAAAUCCUGGAAAGCUGUCCUCGAAGUCAUCAGUUAUCAUCCCGUGAAGGAACACAUGAACGGUACAGAUGGCGCACAUUUGGAGAACACUCUCUUUUUUUGUCUUUUUAUUAUCAGCAGUUCAUGCCCAAGGUGGGUGAUAAAUGUAAUUAUAUCAAAAUGUA